GACGAACGCUGGCGGCGUGCUUAACACAUGCAAGUCGAACGGAAAGGCCCUGCUUUUGUGGGGUGCUCGAGUGGCGAACGGGUGAGUAACACGUGAGUAACCUGCCCUUGACUUUGGGAUAACUUCAGGAAACUGGGACUAAUACCGGAUAGGAGCUCCUGCUGCAUGGUGGGGGUUGGAAAGUUUCGGCGGUUGGGGAUGGACUCGCGGCUUAUCAGCUUGUUGGUGGGGUAGUGGCUUACCAAGGCUUUGACGGGUAGCCGGCCUGAGAGGGUGACCGGCCACAUUGGGACUGAGAUACGGCCCAGACUCCUACGGGAGGCAGCAGUGGGGAAUAUUGCACAAUGGGCGGAAGCCUGAUGCAGCAACGCCGCGUGCGGGAUGCCGGCCUUCGGGUUGUAAACCGCUUUCGCCUGUGACGAAGCGUGAGUGACGGUAAUGGGUAAAGAAGCACCGGCUAACUACGUG
rnacentral:rRNA from 1 species